UCUCAGUUUUCCCAUUCUAUAAACUGGAGGUAAUAUUAUCUACCUCAUAGGGUUAUAAGGAUUAAAUGUGUUAGUAUACGUAAAGCACUUAGUGUGCCUGACAUAUAGUAAAUGCUCUAGAAGUGUUAUCAAGAAUUAUCAUCAUCAUUAUUAUUGAGUGCACAUACCAAAAAUUACUUAAGUAUGUCCCAUUUGGGGACUUUUAGGUUGCUUCCAUUUCUUGUCUCUUAAAAAUUUGUUAGGAGUGACUAAGUAUAUUGUUAAGAUAUUCUUCAGAAUUAUUUUGCAUGGGCUAUUUUACUGUACAGUUUUUUUUUAAACUUUUAAAUUGGCUUGUGCUCCACUUGAAGGUAUUUGUACCGCAUCUACACCUUUUGUAUUAUUGGGAGAUGUUUUGGAUUGUCUUCCUUUGGAUCAAUGUGACACAAUAUUCACUUUUGUGGAAAAAAAUGUUGCUACUUGGAAAUCAAACACAUUCUAUUCUGCUGGGAAAAAUUAUUUACUACGUAUGUGCAAUGAUCUCUUGAGAAGAUUAUCAAAAUCCCAGAAUACAGUCUUCUGUGGACGAAUUCAACUCUUUUUGGCCAGGCUUUUCCCUUUAUCUGAGAAAUCAGGU